GGAAGUCCUCGUGUUGCAUCC
rnacentral:sRNA from 1 species